UAAGACAGAGGGGGCAAGCGUUGCUCGGAAUCACUGGGCGUAAAGAGCGCGUAGGCGGGAUGGCAAGUCGGUCGUGAAAUCCCUCGGCUCAACCGAGGAGCGUCGGCCGAUACUGCUGUUCUUGAGGGAUGCAGAGGAGACUGGAAUUCCCGGUGUAGCGGUGAAAUGUGUAGAGAUCGGGAGGAACACCGGUGGCGAAGGCGGGUCUCUGGGCAUCUCCUGACGCUGAGGCGCGAAAGCGUGGGGAGCAAACGGGAUUAGAUACCCCGGUAGUCCACGCGGUAAACGAUGACGACUAGGUGUGGGGAGGUUCAGUCCUUUCCGUGCCGCAGCUAACGCAUUAAGUCGUCCGCCUGGGGAGUACGGCCGCAAGGUUGAAACUUAAAUGAAUUGACGG
rnacentral:rRNA from 1 species